rnacentral:rRNA from 1 species
AGCGAACGCUGGCGGCAGGCCUAAUACAUGCAAGUCGAACGGUCUCUUCGGAGGCAGUGGCGGACGGGUGAGUAACGCGUGGGAACGUGCCCUUUGGUACGGAACAACUGAGGGAAACUUCAGCUAAUACCGUAUGUGCCCUUCGGGGGAAAGAUUUAUCGCCAUUGGAGCGGCCCGCGUUGGAUUAGCUAGUUGGUGGGGUAAUGGCCCACCAAGGCGACGAUCCAUAGCUGGUCUGAGAGGAUGAUCAGCCACACUGGGACUGAGACACGGCCCAGACUCCUACGGGAGGCAGCAGUAGGGAAUCUUGCGCAAUGGGCGAAAGCCUGACGCAGCCAUGCCGCGUGAAUGAUGAAGGUCUAGGAUUGUAAAUUCUUUCACCGGGGACGAUAAUGACGGUACCCGGAGAA